rnacentral:rRNA from 1 species
GAUGAACGCUGGCGGCGUGCUUAACACAUGCAAGUCGAACGGUGAACACGGAGCUUGCUCUGUGGGAUCAGUGGCGAACGGGUGAGUAACACGUGAGCAACCUGCCCCUGACUCUGGGAUAAGCGCUGGAAACGGCGUCUAAUACUGGAUAUGUGACGUGACCACAUGGUCUGCGUUUGGAAAGAUUUUUCGGUUGGGGAUGGGCUCGCGGCCUAUCAGCUUGUUGGUGAGGUAAUGGCUCACCAAGGCGUCGACGGGUAGCCGGCCUGAGAGGGUGACCGGCCACACUGGGACUGAGACACGGCCCAGACUCCUACGGGAGGCAGCAGUGGGGAAUAUUGCACAAUGGGCGCAAGCCUGAUGCAGCAACGCCGCGUGAGGGAUGACGGCCUUCGGGUUGUAAACCUCUUUUAGCAGGGAAGAAGCGAAAGUGACGGUACCUGCAGAAAAAGCGCCGGCUAACUACGUG